rnacentral:rRNA from 1 species
AAUCAACGCUGGCGGCGUGCCUAACACAUGCAAGUCGAACGAGAAAGCGGGGGCAACCCCGUGAGUAAAGUGGCGUACGGGUGAGUAACACGUAGCUAACCUACCCUUGAGUGGGGGAUAACCUGGGGAAACUCGGGCUAAUACCGCAUAACCUCCUUGUUGCCCAAGCAGCGAGGAGCAAAGGUCCGCAAGGGCCGCUUGAGGAGGGGGCUGCGGCCGAUUAGCUAGUUGGCGGGGUAAUGGCCCACCAAGGCGAUGAUCGGUAGCCGGCCUGAGA